rnacentral:rRNA from 1 species
GACGAGGGGUCCAAGCGUUGUUCGGAAUUAUUGGGCGUAAAGCGGGUGUAGGUGGCUCUAUAAGUCAGAAGUGAAAGCCCCGGGCUUAACCCGGGAAGUGCUUUUGAUACUGCAGAGCUUGAAUGUGGGAGAGGGUAGUGGAAUUCCAGGUGUAGUGGUGAAAUACGUAGAUAUCGGAAGGAACACCGGUGGCGAAAGCGGCGCGCUGGACCUCUUCUGACGCUGAGGCGCGAAAGCCAGGGGAGCAAACGGG